rnacentral:lncRNA from 1 species
GGGCCUAUAUUUUUACCAAACCCUCCCAUAUUUCGGGCGGGCCGUCGGGCUAGGCCAGGCCGCCCAACCCAUGAACACCUCUAGUGGGAGGGGGGUUUUUCCCAUUUUUUUUAGUAUCAAUUCAUUUUUUCGGUUCAUUUUUUUCUCAGUUUUCUUUUUUUUAUCAUCUCUUAGCUUUUUUCUUAACCUAGUUUUUUUUAGUACUAGUUCAUUUUUUCCCAAUUUUCUUUUUUUUAUUGAUUUUCUUUUUUAUCAUCUCUUUGCUUUUUUCUUAACUCGGUUUUUUCAACUGUGAAUACCCGUUAAAAUAUUUUUCACCUAUUAAAUUAAUUUUAAACAUAUUAAAAAAAUUUUAACUUGAUAGUAGUG